AUCUUGUACCGGGCAGCAGGAUAUUCGCCCGCGUCGGCCGCCCGGGGCGGCGACUUUAGGGCAGAAGACGGGGCUGGGUUGGAGGCGCGGGAGGAGAAGGUGGUGUACUCGCGGUCGCAACUGUCGCUGGCUGACAGCACCAAGGCGCUGGGCGACGCCUUCAAGCUCUUCAUGCCCCGCAGCACGGAGUUCAUGAGCUCGGACGCGGAGCUCUGGAGCUUCCUCUGCAGCCUCAAGCACCAGUUCUCCCCGCACAUCCUGCGCAGCAAGGACGUCUACGGCUACUCCUCCUGCCGGGCCCUGGUACCCGACCCCCCGGGGCCCCCUACAGCCCGCGGCCAGGCGCGCCGGCCGGUUCCGCGCGCAGCGGCCAGGAGGAGGCGCCGCGGAGCCCGGGCGGCCGCUGCCCGCAGGAGGAAGCCCCGGCCGCCACCCCCACCGCCGCCGCCCCCCGAGGAGAGCUGCCCGGCCAAGCCCGUGGCCCCCGGGCCCUGCUUCGGGGGCCGCACCUUGGAGGAGAUCUGGAGGGCGGCCACCCCGACGCUGACCACCUUCCCCACCAUCCGCGUCGGCAGCGACGUGUGGGGCGAGCGCAGCCUGGCGGCAGCGCGGCGCAGGGCGCGCCAGGUCCUGCGAGUGAACCUGGAACCCAUGGUGAGGCUCCGCCGCUUCCCGGUGCCCCGGGCAUGAGGUGCGGCCUCCAGGGCGCCUCCUGCCGGCCCCGACCUUGGGACAGGCCUUCCGCCCGGAGGAAUGAACAAGUGUCAGUCGAGUGUUUACAGAUCCGGCCAGGACCCCGGCCCCCAAUGCACUUUACGCGCGAAGAAGUUGCCGGAUGGUUGUCCCUGUCCCGGGCCGCGGCGCGGUCGUCUUGGACGCUGGGGCAGGUGUGCCCUCUGCUGCCUCCCGUACCCGGCCUGCGGAGGGAGGGGACAGCUGGACCCGCAGGGGAGGUCCCUUUCUUCCUGACCACCGAUUGAGACGUCUCCAGGACCUUAGGGGCAGAUCCGUUUUCUCACUGUUGGACUCUACCUCACUGGUCUGGAAGUCCUCCGAAGACAUUAUUUUUCCAAAGGAAUUUGGUUUCGUGCUUGUGUAAUAAAGCCAGAAUUUACUUGUUCUUUAUCUCCCCCUUUUUCUAUUUCACUGUCACCCCUCUUUGUGGACAGAAGUUCGAACAUGUGGUGUUGCACUAGUUUGUGCUCAGGGUAUUCUGAAGCCCACUCGUUUCCUAAUUUUUACUGGAUUCCAAAGCUUUGAUCGAGGAUAUUUUUUAAGAGGUUCAAGCUUGUGACUGUUAGUAGUGCAAGGAUUUGUAUGGGCUCAGUGAUUACAAACAAAGACAUGCAAAAUACAACUGUUUAAACAUUUUCAAGGUAUUUUUAAAGGUUUUGUAUUGAAACAAUGUUUAUAUUUACUGAGCUCCUAAAAAUGGUAGAAUACACAUGAAAACUUUUGUUUAGGAAAAGUUAACUUGUUAAAUUCUUUUGAAUUGAAUAAAAAAAUGCAUUGAAACCAUAUGGUGUGUGAUUAAAAAAAAUGAAUAAAUUGUGAAGAACUGGUUUUGGUUACAGGAGUCACUGGAAUCCGACUGGAGAUGAUUUGGCCCCCUGUCCUGGUCUAACAUACAAAUCUAGGAAUAUUAUGCGUUAAAGUAUUUUAAAAUACAUUAUCCUUGUAAUGUAUUUUACAAGGAUAAUGUAUUUUAAAAUGGGAGUUGCAUAGGAGAGAUGGAUGUGUGUAAACAUUAUCACUAAAAUGAUAAACAGAAUACCCAUUAGAAUUCUUAGAACUAUUAAUGAUCAAGAGGGGUGGAGGCAUUUCUUGGUAUCAAAUAACUGGUUAAGGUUACUUUGGGCGAAAUCUAUUUCCUUUUUGUUUUUGUUGUUGGAUAACAAGAAAUGUCUAGACUAAUAUUCAUCAGUUUUACAAACAUAAUGAAAAUUAGUUGAUUUUUAGUUGAUUUUUUUGUCCCAACAUUUUUUUUAACCUUUUUGCCACUCAUUAUAUGUUUGCAGUUCUAGGUCUUUGACAGCUGAAGACCACAGGAAUCAAACAGGCGAGACACACAGAAUACUGACCCUUCUUUACGCUUUUAUAGUGUUUAUACCAUAUGGCCCAGUGUGGAAUUCUUGAUUAUCCAAGUGCCUUUGGUCAUUUGUGGCAGGAAAACUUAAUAGUUUUUAGCCAGCAGUGCCACAGCCAGCUUUUACUGCAAUACCUAAAGGGUCAAGUAGUGUUUUUGUACCACUAUUAUUUCAAAUUUAAGUAUUCUGCCAUGAAACGAUCCAUACUGGGCUGGAACUUGACAUGUGAAAUCUUUAAUACUAAAGCUUAUCUCUGCUUGGCAGCUUUUUAGGAGAAUAAUGAGAGUUACAAUUUUGACUCUUGCGUUCCUAGAAUUCAAAUGGCAUAGCUUUCUGAAAUGAGUAUUUCAAGUUUAGUAGUCCGUAUAGGAGUGUUGUGACUUCAAUUUCAGUGUUCUUGUUAAAAGAAAUAAUAUGAUAUAUAUAUACACACAUAUAUAUAACUUGAUGCCAGUUUUCUAGUAAGCCUCAGUCUUUUAUUCACUACUCAAUGAUAAUGCAUUGUACAAACACUGUCACAUGAGUAAAUAAAAAUGAAUAAUUCCUUAGAAGAUGGAGAGUGUUAAAUUAUAUUUGUGAUAGGAAGCUUAGACAUAUCUUUUGGUUAUUAGCUUCCAUUGCCAAUUGUAUUUCAGAUGCAUAGGGUUUUCUUCCCAAAAAUAUAUUGUUAACUUUUAUAGCUAACUAGCACCUGGAAAAAAUGUAUUUGUACAACUUUACUAUUGUAUAUAGUUUUAUAAUAAUGAAAAAUAAACCCAAUGGCCAUAUUAGAAUGCAAUUUCGACAUACAGCUUAUCUAGAUAGUUUUCCAGAGGAUUUUGAAAUUUGGCUUAACUGGGAGGAUAACUGCUCAGCACACCACUGAAACAUAACCACUGACACCAUUCAUUUAUUUUAACUGAGAUUCUUGACAUUUUUCUCUCCUAUGCCUUGUUACUUUAGCAUACUUGAACUCACAUAAAUGCUUCUUUGGAUUACAUGGGCUAUCUGAUUCCAUUUUGGAUCUGAUUGUCCAUCUUGAAUUCAAUAUGGUAUUCAUCUGGACUAUUCAAAAAUUAUGCCAUUUCUAGUCUGUGAAAUAAGAUGUAAAAAAUCUUUAUUUUUGCCCUUUGGUAAAAACCUAUGUGACAACUUUUAAAAUGUGAAGCAACAUCUAAUAUAGUUGACUGGUAUACUAAUAGGAAAGUGAAAGUAUUUCAUGGGUACUUUGUCACAGAAUGUGAAAAGAAACUUGGCAUAGUGGCCUUUAUAAUGAGGCAUCCACUUACUCCUCUGAAGUGAAGUCUGUAGCUUAGCUUGUGUAUAGUUUUUGAAAGAAAUCUCAUGAUCUUCGUUCAUUCUCUUGCCUUCUCUUUUAUCUCAUAUGGCACAAGUAGAGGGGGAAGCCAGGAGGAAAUUCAUCACCUCGCUAUGCUUUUAUUUGAUUUUUAAUUCCUGAGUGCCUAAAUGUGGUGACCGGCACCUCACAUAACUUUUUGAGAUUCUUGAUGUCAUUUUUAUCCUUCCUGUCAACCAGCAAUGUAUUUUUAUGUUACUAAAACCAGUAACGUCAUAAUUGUUGAGGGCAAGCUUCAUUGUUGAUAGUGCAAAGUGUCGCUGUUGUGAUGUGUGUUUAUUUUAUUCAAGUUUGAAUAUUGACAAGUGUAACUUAAGCUGGUGACUGACACCUAUUGAUCUGCUGUGUGCAAAUGAUAGUACUAUUUUUUAGAAAACUCUUAAGUAAAUUUUAAAAAUAUUUGAAUACAAAAUAUCUGAGCAAUUUUGAACUCAAAAGUUUUUCAUUGUUUUAAGGAUUGCCACAGGACUCUUUAAUGGUUUUUAAUGGACAUACAUGCCUAAUAUUUAUUGGUGUGUUUAAAAUAUUUUUUGAUAGAGUGUUAUGUCUUAAGCGCAUUAGAAAACAAUUGUUUGUAAUGGAAUCAAAGUGUUUCCCUGGACAGUUUGAUGUGCUUAUGGUUGAGAUUUAUAAUCUGCUUGUACUUUGCUUUUUAACUUAUUAACUGUAAAUAAAUUUUAGAGAAUACAUAGUGUCUAGUUUUUCUAAUGAUUUGAACAUUUUUGAAAUGGUAUUUUGUAUUUGUAUGUGACUCAGAAAACAUCUUAAUUUACAAUUUGAUAAAUUUUGACUUUUUUGUGAACUUCAAAUUCCCAGAAAUCUCGAGAUUUGUUUUUUGUGCUAUCUCGGGAGUCUGUGUUCCAUCAAUUCUUUAAUUAUCUAGCGAAUUUUUAGGAUGGCGCUACAAGCCCAACUUAUUAACCAGUUUGCCAGCAAUAAAAUAUCCUACAAAAAAAAAAUGCAUCAAAAUUCAGAAUUCUCUAAAUCCUGACCCGAGGUGCCCCUGUGACGAUGACAAAAGGUCUAAAGCUCUUGCUCUUUCAUGGCAUGAAAGGAAGUAAGAGUGCUCCAUUUGAGUACCAGUGGUAUGGGCUGUUCCACAGAAUAAGGGCAGGGCUAGAAUUUUCAUUAGAGUCUAGAAGGCAGAAGUGGAGUAUUAGUGAACAGCACAGCAAGAGCCGGAUUCAUAGAUAGUACUGUGUGGGCUGAAUUUGUCUUUGUACCUAAGUUCCUAUUAGUUGGAGGAAGCGUAGUGUAAUAGUUGUGGAGUCACAGUGCCUGGGGUGGAAUUAUUAUGCAUACCUUUGUGACUUGCAAGUGUUGAGACUGUAGGUAAGUUACUUAAAAUCUUUGUGCCUUGCUUCCUCAACUAUCAAAUGUGAUUAGUGAAAGAAACUAUUGGGAUAUUAUAAGGAUUAAUAACUACCCCUUUCAAAGGGUAGUAAUGCUAGACACAUAGGAAGUACUAAAUAAAUGCUCUUAAUUAUAGGUAUGCACAGUGAGAAUAGGUAUAUAAGCUGAGAGUGGUCCGUUGUGAGUUUAGCUCUCCAGGUUUCUCAGCAUCCCAAGAAUAUUGUGUGGCUCUGGGAAAGCUGUAAGAUAAAUGAAGAGAAGAGAAUUUGUGCAUGAAUAAAAUUGAAGACAUAAGGAAAUCAUAUAAUUUUUUAGCUUGCUGACUAUGCAGUAGGAGAUUGGAUUAAGUUGAUUUAUUACAAUUUUUGUUGUUGGAGUUUUUUUAAAGAUUCACAUCUUCUUUUGUUAUAUCUCUAUAAGACAUUUGAAUGUACUGUUAUGUGUUUUAAACUAUCUGAGAAUUUAUAACAGUAAUAGAUUUAAAGCUGUUGAUCCAAGAACUUACAAAAGUUUUGGACUACAUAUUUGCUUAGAGUAAGCUCAGUAAGUGUUGCUUAUAAAUGAUGUUAAUUUAUAUGCAUAGAACCAAGCUAUAGUUUGUAUAAAGUUUAUAAUUCAGGUGUUAAAGGAAACAAAGUGAGUACAAUAGCUGUGCUUGAAACACCAGAAAAUUAUUACUGAAAGUAAAAAAAAUCUUGUAUUUGAAGCAUUGACACACUCAUUUUUGGAUGUCAGAUAUAAAGCCUGUAAUUUAGGUUUAAUUCCUCAUAGCACAGAGAAUAGAACAUCCUCUAAAUUGGUGAACAAGCCAAAGUUGCAGUUAUCUGAAGUUGACACAAAAUAAUUUCCUGGAAAAUUAUUAGAUGAAAGUCAUACAAGAACAAGAAGCUAAAAAUUGAGCCUAAUUGCAGAUUUCACAGAAGUAAUGACUUCUCACUGUCAUCACUCUCUUGUGUCUUGGUAAAUGUCAUUCUAAACCAUGAUCUAUAACAUAAUAAACAUAUCUAAAGCCCAAUUGGAAAGUAAUAAUCAUAAAAACACCAAACACUAUGUUUAGCCCAGAAAAUUUGAAUAAGUAGUCUACUGAAUCCAAAACUGGACUUAUUUAGCUUCCGAAAGCAUUCAUAGAAAAGUUAAAUUGAGAUUCUUCCAAGUAGUACAAUUAACUGUAAAAUGUGUACAUAUUUCUCUUUUCAAGGAUUUUUUUCAAGUACAUAUUCUUUAAAGAGUACAGAAAAAAAAAGAGUGUGGCUUAGGGUUCUAAAUCUUACAGAGUAAAAAAAUUAUUGAAGCAAAAACAAAUGUAUAAAAAGUACAUAUAAACGUACAGUUUGAUGAAUUUUCAUAAAUUCAAUAGGCUCAUGGAACUAGCACUCAGAUUAAAAAAAUACAGUUAUGAGUACCCCUGAAGUCCUCCCUAACACCCCAUCAGCCAUUACCUACUCACCUUCUUGCCCAAGAUAACCAUUAUUUUGAUUUCUUACAGCAUAUUUUUUGCUUAUUUUUGAACUUUACAUAAAUGGAAUUAUUGGUCAUGUGUCUAGCUUCUUUCACUUGAAAUUAUGUUUGUGAGAUUCAUUUAUAUUGUUGUGUGUACUAUUAUUGUAGAUCAUUUAUUCUCAUUGGUGUAUAGAAUUCCACUGUGUGAAUAUUCCACAAUAUAUUUAUUCCAGUCUUGGUGGGCAUUUGGGUAGAUUCCAGUUUGGAACAAUUAUAAAUAAAGCUUUGAUGAAUAUUCUAAAACAUGUCUUUUGGUGAACAUAUGCAUGUAUUUUUUUUUGGAGUAUAUAUCUAGGAAUGAAUUUGCUGAGACACUGGGUCACAGCAAAUGAUCAUCUUUGGUAGAUACUGCCAAACAGUUUUCCAAAGUGGAUACAUGGACUUUUAUAAAACUGGCCUUCAAAAAGUUUGCUUUUUAUUAUUCUUCCUUUCUUCUUCAAAGCUAAAGAAGUUUUGUUCCUUCUGCUCUUAAAAUGAAAUGAAAAGACAUUUUCCCCCUAUGUUUUCCUAUAUUUUACAGCAGAGCUUUAGAAAAAAGUCUUUUAUGUAUUAAGUUGUUUUCUUCUCCAUCCUUUAUACAAAACCAGCUCUAAGAUUGGGAAUAACAUUAACUAUGUUAACCCAAGCCCAGCAAACUUAAACUGUCAUAAAACCGAGCAUUUGAGACUUGGGUUCAUAGUGUUCCUCUUCUAGUCCUUGGG
rnacentral:lncRNA from 1 species